rnacentral:rRNA from 1 species
CGAAUGCUGACAUAAGUAACGAUAAAGCGGGUGAAAAGCCCGCUCGCCGGAAGACCAAGGGUUCCUGUCCAACGUUAAUCGGGGCAGGGUGAGUCGACCCCUAAGGCGAGGCCGAAAGGCGUAGUCGAUGGGAAACAGGUUAAUAUUCCUGUACUUGGUGUUACUGCGAAGGGGGGACGGAGAAGGCUAUGUUGGCCGGGCGACGGUUGUCCCGGUUUAAGCGUGUAGGCUGGUUUUCCAGGCAAAUCCGGAAAAUCAAGGCUGAGGCGUGAUGACGAGGCACUACGGUGCUGAAGCAACAAAUGCCCUGCUUCCAGGAAAAGCCUCUAAGCAUCAGGUAACAUCAAAUCGUACCCCAAACCGACACAGGUGGUCAGGUAGAGAAUACCAAGGCGCUUGAGAGAACUCGGGUGAAGGAACUAGGCAAAAUGGUGCCGUAACUUCGGGAGAAGGCACGCUGAUAUGUAGGUGAAGUCCCUCGCGGAUGGAGCUGAAAUCAGUCGAAGAUACCAGCUGGCUGCAACUGUUUAUUAAAAACACAGCACUGUGCAAACACGAAAGUGGACGUAUACGGUGUGACGCCUGCCCGGUGCCGGAAGG